UACGUAGGGCGCAAGCGUUUGUCCGGAAUUAUUGGGCGUAAAGAGCUCGUAGGCGGUUUGUCGCGUCUGCUGUGAAAACCUGAGGCUCAACCUCGGGCUUGCAGUGGGUACGGGCAGACUAGAGUGCGGUAGGGGUGACUGGAAUUCCUGGUGUAGCGGUGGAAUGCGCAGAUAUCAGGAGGAACACCGAUGGCGAAGGCAGGUCACUGGGCCGCAACUGACGCUGAGGAGCGAAAGCGUGGGUAGCAAACAGG
rnacentral:rRNA from 1 species